rnacentral:rRNA from 1 species
UACGGGGGGGGGCAAGCGUUGUUCGGAAUUACUGGGCGUAAAGUGUGCGCAGGCGGCAGAGCAAGUCGAGUGUGAAAGCCCCGGGCUUAACUUGGGAAUUGCGCUCGAAACUACUUUGCUGGAGUGUGGCAGAGGAAGGUGGAAUUCCACGUGUAGCGGUGAAAUGCGUAGAGAUGUGGAGGAACACCGAUGGCGAAGGCAGCCCCCUGGGUCGACACUGACGCUCAUGCACGAAAGCGUGGGGAGCAAACAGG